ACAGAGGUGCUGCAUGGCUGUCGUCAGCUCGUGUCGUGAGAUGUUGGGUUAAGUCCCGCAACGAGCGCAACCCUUGCUGUUAGUUGCUCACUCGCAAGAGUAGCACUCUAACUAGGACUGCUGGUGAUAAACCGGAGGAAGGUGGGGAUGACGUCAAGUCAUCAUGGCCUUUAUGUCCCGGGCUACACACGUGCUACAAUGGCUGGUACAAAGGGUUGCUAAAUCGCAAGGUGGAGCCAAUCCCAGAAAGCCAGCCUCAGUUCGGAUUGCACUCUGCAACUCGAGUGCAUGAAGGUGGAAUCGCUAGUAAUCGCGGAUCAGCAUGCCGCGGUGAAUACGUUUCCGGGCCUUGUACACACCGCCCGUCACACCACGAAAGUGGAUUGUACCCGAAGUCGCCAAGCUAACCCUUUGGGAAGCAGGUGCCCAAGGUAUGAUUCAUGAUUGGGGUGAAGUCG
rnacentral:rRNA from 1 species